rnacentral:rRNA from 1 species
AUUGAACGCUGGCGGCAGGCCUAACACAUGCAAGUCGAGCGGAGCGGCGGACGGGUGAGUAAUGCCUAGGAAUCUGCCUGGGAGUGGGGGAUAACGUCAGGAAACGGGCGCUAAUACCGCAUCCUAUCAGAUGAGCCUAGGUCGGAUUAGCUAGUUGGUGGGGCAAAGGCCUACCAAGGCGACGAUCCGGAGCUGGUCUGAGAGGAUGAUCAGUCACACUGGAACUGAGACACGGCACAGACUCCUACGGGAGGCAGCAGUGGGGAAUAUUGGACAAUGGGCGAAAGCCUGAUCCAGCCAUGCAGCGUGUGUGAAGAAGGUCUUCGGAUUGUAAAGCACUUUAAGUAGGGAGGCGUUACCAACAGAAGAAGCACCGGCUAACUCCGUGCCAGCAGCCGCGGUAAUAC